AAAAAAAAUUAGCGUAGAAUCGUACAAUACUUUGAGCAACGUUCAAAAAUGAAGGUCGCAUUACUUAUUUUCGUUUUCGGACUCAUGGCUCUGCAGAGCAUUAACGGCCAAUGCCUGUACUCGGGAGUCGGAGUAGCUCCAGCCGUCGUAUCUACGCCAGCUGUUGUCACUUCCAACGCAGUUGCCACUACUUUAGCGGACACUCUAUCACUCCUCACAGUCAGUAGUCUUCUGUCAGAGAAGUUGCCAUUUGGUUGUCCGAUGUGUGCGCCAGGACCAAUCACAACUGUCGCGCCAAUGGUUGGCAAUUGUGGAUGUGGAUGUGGAUGUAGCGGAUACGGUUAUCCCUAUGGUACAUAUAUUAUAUAAUUUUUGUCAUAUAAAGUUGUUGCGUAAUACGUAACAACAAAUAUAAAAUUAUUUAAAUAUAUAGCUAUGGACUUAAUUUAUAUAUUCGAAAGAUUUGAAGGUUUACUUUAAUUUAUAUAUGUAGAUUUUUAAUUAGAGAAACCCGUUGAUAUCUUAUAUUAUUUAUGUGUAUAAAUAGACUAUCGCGAUGAAAAAUAUUCUGUCCUGUCUUGGACACUAAGCACACGCACACUAGUAAAGUAAUAUGACGUUUGGCGAGUGUUAAGCGUAGCUGUCACGCACACUAAGAUAAUAAAUAUGACUCGUUUGUUUUAGUUAUUUUGUAGUGCGUUACAUUAUUUAGAUAUAUAUAUGAACAGACAAAGAAAAAACAAUCUUUUUCUCAUAUUUAAUGUGAAUCUAUUACAUUUUACUUGGUAUCUCAUUCGUAAAAUGUCGACAGCUGACUUAAGAUGUUACGCCAUUUUGUUUUUUUAUUUUUGGUUUGGCUUUUAUUUUUGCAACGCCAUUUUGUUAUGUGUAUCCUAUAAAUUUUAUAAUUGUCACUGUCAAUGUCAAUGUCACACGACAUUGAAAUUUCACGCUCUUGUUCUCAGCUGAGAUUUGAGUUUCUUCUUAUGGAAUAUAAUUGUUUGGUAGUUGUAGUUGUGGAACAAAAUCACGCACAUGCAAAUUCAAGUUUGAAAUUAAUUUCAAUAUUGAUUAUUAUUGAAUGAAUAACGUUGAACGAAAACUAAGUCGUUUAAUUAUACAACAAUAAUAUACGUCUCGUAUCCUGUUAAAUUCAAUGGACUUAAGUAACCAAAUUAUUUAUAUAGUGAUGGCAUUCACUUUUUUAUAUUUUACAUCAAUGUAAAACCUUAAAACAUAUUAUUUAUAUAUCUAUAGUAUACUGUAUUGUUAACACCAAAGAUGUGCCCAAAAUUCCAUCCUUUUCUGCUUCAGUCAUCUGUUUAACCAGCGAUCGUCGUGCGGUUUUCCAAGCCGAUGUAACUCGGGAAACUUUAAAAAAAUAACUUGAUCAUUUUGCCUUCCUAUGUUACGGUAUCGAUGUGCGGUGUACGAUCGAUGUACGGUAGGUAUUGCCAUACAUAAAAUAGCAGAUUUAGUUAGAACGAACCGGUAAAGUUAAAUAAAGGCUUGUAAAGAACCUGUUUAAACUUCAAAGUCACAUGAACGACUUCUACCAAGUUAUUAUAUUGAAGAAACGAUUCGUUUUGUUUACGGACAGUAUUGUCUAAGAGGCGUAAUUCAGAAACUACAAAUAGAGAGGUAAAGAGAAGUAUCUGAUAUAGAAUUAAAUUAUUUGCCUCCGCCUACGAAUUUCAUAAAAAAAAAAACAUUUUUUAGACAUAAAUAUACUUCUCCUUACCUCUACGUAUUGUUGUUGUUGUUACUGGCUUAUUUCUUGAGGAUCAAAUGUAUUAAUCUGUAAAUGUAUGAAAACCACAUAUACAAGUACAAAUAAAAAAAAAACAUUCAACAAUUUCACCAUCCGUAAGCAAAACAAUUCGUUUCUCGAAAAUAGUAACACGUAGAAGUUACAAUAAUGGUGUCUUGUAAUGUUAUGAUCACACUAAUGCAA